UACGUAGGGUGCAAGCGUUAAUCGGAAUUACUGGGCGUAAAGCGUGCGCAGGCGGUUUUGUAAGUCUGUCGUGAAAUCCCCGGGCUCAACCUGGGAAUUGCGAUGGAGACUGCAAGGCUUGAAUCUGGCAGAGGGGGGUAGAAUUCCACGUGUAGCAGUGAAAUGCGUAGAGAUGUGGAGGAACACCGAUGGCGAAGGCAGCCCCCUGGGAUAACACUGACGCUCAUGCACGAAAGCGUGGGGAGCAAACAGG
rnacentral:rRNA from 1 species